AAUCACGGGCGCGAGCUGGUGGCGGCGCCGCUGCGGGAAGGUCGGCGGUGGGAAGGCGAUGGCAGAUAUAGAUAAACUCAACAUCAACAGCAUCAUCCAACGGCUGCUGGAAGUGAGAGGGUCCAAGCCUGGUAAGAAUGUCCAGCUACAGGAGAAUGAAAUCAGAGGACUGUGCUUAAAGUCCCGAGAGAUCUUUCUCAGUCAGCCUAUCCUGCUAGAACUUGAAGCACCACUCAAGAUAUGUGGUGAUAUCCAUGGGCAAUACUAUGAUUUGCUUCGACUUUUUGAGUAUGGUGGUUUCCCGCCAGAAAGCAAUUACCUGUUUCUUGGGGACUAUGUGGACAGGGGAAAACAAUCACUGGAGACUAUCUGCCUCUUGUUGGCUUACAAAAUCAAAUAUCCUGAGAAUUUUUUCUUCUCAGAGGUUAGAAACCACGAAUGUGCCAGCAUCGAUAGAAUUUAUGGAUUUUAUGAUGAAUGUAAAAGAAGAUAUAACAUUAAACUAUGGAAAACUUUCACAGACUGCUUUAACUGUUUACCAAUAGCAGCCAUCAUGGAUGAGAAAAUAUUCUGCUGUCAUGGAGGUUUAUCACCAGAUCUUCAAUCUAUGGAGCAGAUUCGGUGAAUUAUGCGACCAACUGAUGUACCAGAUCAAGGUCUUCUUUGUGAUCUUUUGUGGUCUGACCCCGAUAAAGAUGUCUUAGGCUGCGGUAAAAAUGACAGAGGAGUGUCCUUCACAUUUGGUGCAGAAGUGGUUGCAAAAUUUCUCCAUAAGCAUGAUUUGGAUCUUAUAUGUAGAGCCCACCAGGUGGUUGAAGAUGGAUAUGAAUGUUUUGCAAAGAGGCAGUUGGUCACUCUGUUUUCUGUGCCCAAUUAUUGUGGAGAGUUUGACAAUACAGGUGCCAUGAUGAGUGUGGACGCAACACUAAUGUGUUCUUUUCAGAUUGUAAAGCCUGCAGAGAAAAAGAAGCCGAAUGCCACAAGACCCGUCACACCUCCAAGGCAUAUGAUCACAAAGCAAGCAAAGAAAUAGAUGUCAUUUUGAUACUGCCUAGCUGGAACUUGUAACAUAUAGUACAUAACCUUCAUUUUUAAAACUAUAAUGUGCAUUGGUCAGCUUGCUCAAAUAGUAUUUGUGGGGCUCCCCAUUUCAUUUUUGACUUAAUGAAUGGUAUUUGCUGGUUAUAACAGCAAAUGAAAGAUUCUCCACUCCCAAGGAAAAAUGUUUUCAUUAGUUCCCUGUUUCUUUUACAAACAACAUUAAUGGUGUUAAAGCUGUACACUCAGGACAGUGUCCCCUGUCUAAGGGGUGAGUGUACAACUGAUCUUUUUAAAAUUCAGUACAGCCCAUAAAUAAUGUAAAUGCUCAUUUCCUUUAGGAUAUAAAGAAAGCCGUAGGGUGCUCAAUCUGUACAUGUUAUUGUCAUAAAAUGCAUACCAUUGGAUACAAACCACUGCGAACUUUUUUGUUUCAAAGUGAUUGCUUUUUUUUUUUCAUUGUCUUAUGUACAAACUAGUUUUUAUAGCUAUCAACAUUAGGAGUAACUUUCAACUUUGCCAGCAUCACUGGUAUGUAUAUUUAACUAAAGCACACUUUCCCCUACAGUAUACUUAAAAUGAUGAUUAAAACCAUUAUUUUAAAUGUUUGUGACUUUUUUCCUGAAGCCAAAGUUUCUGUUGAAAUAUAUACUGACACUCCCCUAAGUAAGUACAAGGUGGCAUGGUUGUGUACACCUGUCACCUUUAUGGGGAUUCAAAAACAGGUUUUUGAGUUUGAAUAGCAGUUAGUAACAUAGUGCUGUUUAAGCUAUUAAUAAUUAAAGUUAAUUACAUUUUGUAUGAUUUCCAUAUAGUCUAUUCAUUAAGUAAUCUUUUUACAGUUACAUCAGGCCUGAACCCAUCCAUUUAGAAAGCUUCAAAUUAUAGAAACAAUACUGUUCUAUACGAGUGACCGAUUAUGCAUUCUUUGGCCUACAUUCUUUAUUCUGCAAUGAAGUUGAGGCUUAUAAGUCAAAACAAAGGAACUAACUUACUAUCCACCAGUUUAUACAGAAUUCACAGUAUAUCACUUUUUUAAACUAAGACCUGUUAAAAAGAAAUCUGUUUCAACAGAUGACCAUGUACAAUACCAUGUGGUGAAAAUUAAUUAAGACUUAUUAAAUGAUGAACUUG